AACAUGUCUUUUUGUAAAUAUUUUAAAGUUUAAUCUGCCCACUGAUNAAAUUAUUAAAGGGCUGCAGUAUUUUGACUGUACAAAGGUAGCAUAAUCAUUAGUCUCUUAAUUGGUGACUUGUAUGAAAGAUUGGAUGAAAUAUAUACUGUCUCUAAUUAAUUUAUAAAAUUUAAUUUUUUAGUAAAAAAGCUAAAAUAAGUUUAAAAGACGAGAAGACCCUAUAGAGUUUAAUAAUUUAUUUAAUUAUUAUUAAUAUAUAAAUUUUAAAAUUAAAAUUAAAUAAAUUAUUUUGUUGGGGUGAUAGAAAAAUUAAAUUAACUUUUUUUUUAUUUUAUACAUAAAUUUAUGAAUAGAUGAUCCAUUAAUAAUGAUUAAAAGAAAAAAUUACCUUAGGGAUAACAGCGUAAUUUUUUUUUUUAGUUCAAAUAGGAAAAAAAGUUUGCGACCUCGAUGUUGGAUUAAGAUAAAAUUUAAAUGCAAAAGUUAAAA
rnacentral:rRNA from 1 species